rnacentral:rRNA from 1 species
GUGGGGAAUAUUGGGCAAUGGGCGAAAGCCUGACCCAGCAACGCCGCGUGAAGGAAGAAGGUUUUCGGAUCGUAAACUUCUAUCCUUGGUGAAGAUAAUGACGGUAGCCAAGAAGGAAGCCCCGGCUAACUACGUGCCAGCAGCCGCGGUAAUACGUAGGGGGCAAGCGUUGUCCGGAAUGAUUGGGCGUAAAGGGCGCGUAGGCGGCCCGGUAAGUCUGAAGUGAAAGUCCUGCUUUUAAGGUGGGAAUUGCUUUGGAUACUGUCGGGCUUGAGUGCAGGAGAGGUAAGCGGAAUUCCCGGUGUAGCGGUGAAAUGCGUAGAGAUCGGGAGGAACACCAGUGGCGAAGGCGGCUUACUGGACCAGCACUGACACUGAGGCACGAAAGCGUGGGGAGCAAACAGGAUUAGAUACCCCUGUAGUCC